CUACGGGAGGCUCCAGUAAGGAAUAUUGCGCAAUGGAGGCAACUCUGACGCAGCCAUGCCGCGUGCAGGAAGAAGGCCUUAUGGGUCGUAAACUGCUUUUAUUUAGGAAUGAACCCCCGAACGUGUUCGGGGCUGAAGGUACUAAACGAAUAAGCACCGGCUAACUCCGUGCCAGCAGCCGCGGUAAUACGGAGGGUGCAAGCGUUAUCCGGAGUUAUUGGGUUUAAAGGGUGCGCAGGCGGGCUAUUAAGUCAGUGGUGAAAUCCCGGGGCUCAACUCCGGAACUGCCAUUGAUACUGAUAGUCUUGAGUUUGGUUGAAGUGGGCGGAAUGUAGCAUGUAGCGGUGAAAUGCAUAGAUAUGCUACAGAACACCAAUCGCGAAGGCAGCUCACUAAGCCAAAACUGACGCUCAUGCACGAAAGCGUGGGGAUCAAACAGGAUUAGAUACCCUUGUAGUC
rnacentral:rRNA from 1 species